GCACGUCGGUUCCUGAAUGACUCU
rnacentral:siRNA from 1 species